rnacentral:rRNA from 1 species
UACGAACGCUGGCGGCGUGCUUAACACAUGCAAGUCGAGCGGUAAGGCCCUUUCGGGGGUACACGAGCGGCGAACGGGUGAGUAACACGUGGGUGACCUGCCCUCAGCUCUGGGAUAAGCCUGGGAAACUGGGUCUAAUACUGGAUAUGACUCCACGGUGCAUGUCGUGGGGUGGAAAGCCUUGUGCGGCUGAGGAUGGGCCCGCGGCCUAUCAGCUUGUUGGUGGGGGNGAU